GAUGGACGCUGGCGGCGUGCCUAAUACAUGCAAGUCGAGCGAACAGACGAGGAGCUUGCUCCUCUGACGUUAGCGGCGGACGGGUGAGUAACACGUGGAUAACCUACCUAUAAGACUGGGAUAACUUCGGGAAACCGGAGCUAAUACCGGAUAAUAUAUUGAACCGCAUGGUUCAAUAGUGAAAGACGGUUUUGCUGUCACUUAUAGAUGGAUCCGCGCCGCAUUAGCUAGUUGGUACGGUAACGGCUUACCAAGGCAACGAUGCGUAGCCGACCUGAGAGGGUGAUCGGCCACACUGGAACUGAGACACGGUCCAGACUCCUACGGGAGGCAGCAGUAGGGAAUCUUCCGCAAUGGGCGAAAGCCUGACGGAGCAACGCCGCGUGAGUGAUGAAGGUCUUCGGAUCGUAAAACUCUGUUAUUAGGGAAGAACAAAUGUGUAAGUAACUAUGCACGUCUUGACGGUACCUAAUCAGAAAGCCACGGCUAACUACGUG
rnacentral:rRNA from 1 species